GGCCUACCAUGGUGGUAACGGGUAACGGGGUGUUAGGGCACGACACCGGAGAGGGAGCCUGAGAAACGGCUACCACAUCCAAGGAUGGCAGCAGGCGCGCAAAUUACCCAAUCCCGACACGGGGAGGUAGUGACAAUAAAUAACAAUAUGGGGUUCUUAUGGAUCUCGUAAUUGGAAUGAGUACAAUUUAAAUCUCUUAACGAGGAACAAUUGGAGGGCAAGUCUGGUGCCAGCAGCCGCGGUAAUUCCAGCUCCAAUAGCGUAUAUUAAAGUUGUUGCAGUUAAAAAGCUCGUAGUUGAAUUUCGGGGUCAGUAGGUUGGUCAUGCCACUGGUAUGUACUGGUCUCACUGAUUCCUCCUUCCUGAUGAACUGUAAUGCCAUUAAUUUGGUGUUGCAGGGAAUCUGGACUGUUACUUUGAAAAAAUUAGAGUGUUUAAAGCAGGCUAACGCCUGAAUACAUUAGCAUGGAAUAAUGAAAUAGGACGUUCGAUCCUAUUUUGUUGGUUUCUAGGAUUGACGUAAUGAUUAAUAGGGAUAGUUGGGGGCAUUAGUAUUCAAUUGUCAGAGGUGAAAUUCUUGGAUUUAUUGAAGACUAACUACUGCGAAAGCAUUUGCCAAGGAUGUUUUCAUUAAUCAAGAACGAAAGUUAGGGGAUCGAAGACGAUCAGAUACCGUCGUAGUCUUAACCAUAAACUAUGCCGACUAGGGAUCGGAUGAUGUUAAUUUUUUAAUGACUCAUUCGGCGCCUUACG
rnacentral:rRNA from 1 species